rnacentral:pre_miRNA from 4 species
AGUGGAAUUGCUGGGUCAUAUGAUAACUUUGUUUAACUUUUUAAGGAACCUCCAAACUGUUUUUCAAAGUGGAUACACCAUUUGGCAUUCCCAUCAGCAAU